ensembl:lincRNA
GCCUUGCGCAUGCUAAGCACUCUACCAGUAAUCUGCUCACCCAGCCCUUUAUACCUAUGAACUUUAAAUAGAAGAAUCUCCAUCCUGUAAUCCUAGACAUCACAGUUGACCUUGAGAACUGCAUGCAGUCGUGUGCUGUUAGUCACAGAGGGACAAAGGAAAAUAGUAUAGAUGGGUCAGGAUCCCUGGCACCUCUACUCAGUGUGGUGGUUGCAGAUAAAGAAGAGUUCUUUUGAAGCCUCAUCCAUCAGAGCUACACAUGGAGCACCAACAAAUGACACUCAUCUUUCUCUCCAGAUUUUGGAGCCAGUGGAAAGAUGGGCCAGAGAAGACAGACAGAUGGGGAAUAAAAAGAAAGUUGGCUUCAUUGAUGAAGCGGAUGGGAAAACAUGGCUUUCUAUGUGAGACAAAUAGACGUAGUAAUACUUCCUCUGAACUGGAAAGACUGCACCUGCUGUGUGGGGCUUGCUGGACCACCCCAGCACUGGACCAUGGAGGUGAUGGGUUCCCCAUGAUGCUGCUUCUGGAAGCCUGGUUCUCUGAGUCACCACAUGGAAAGCAGUUACUUGCCAGACUGAUCCACAGCAGACUUUGAUCAAAUGAUAAGUAAACCUCUGUUCAGAGAAGUCCCUGGGACUUUGGGGUUGUUUGCUUCCACAGACUUUCCUAGCCUCUCUUUAGUACACACGCUCUGCCUUGUUAACUCAGAUCUUUAUAGGUGGGGUGGCAUCAGUUGUAUGCUGAUAAAUGGUUGACAACCAACCAGCUGUCCAGGGAAAAAUAACAAUAGCAGCCUUAGCUUGUACUGUUGCAGAUACCUGGGGUAUAAAUAUUUUCACUAUGGCUAAUUUCAAGCUACUGCCAUGGCAUCAUUGAAUGUGCAGAUGAAAAGGAACCUAGUAUUAGUUAAUGCCAGUUUACCUCUGCACGGCAUCUUGAUUCAAUUAGAAAACACAGUAGAGUCUGUCGAUUUUACAGAAGAAGCAUGAAUCUGGGAAAAGACACAGUGUGCUUAUGGUAACAAUAAAAUUGGAAAGAUUUUAUUUAGCAAUAUUUUGUACUAAGACUUUCAGACUAAGAAAUAGUAGGUUAUAAUUGUACAUUGUAAAAUAAAUUUUAGCAAUUAAAAUUUAAUUUAGGAUUUACUUAAUGUACUCACUCAAAGCAAAUCAUUUGGCAAAUUAUUUGUGAGUUUUCCUUCUAAGUGCUUCCUGUAUAGCUUAUAAGAUAUUACUCCUUGUUCUUGUAAAGAGUAAGUUAUUGCCAUGCUAAGACAAAGGAACGUAAAACAAGGCAUUUUUGGAUUUGGUUUUGCAUGAAGAUUAAAUUAAAUGGACUCUCUUGCAUUUGCUUCAUAAAUCAAAUACUUUAUUAUUAUUAUGCUAAUAUUGAGAAUAUGCAAAUGUUCAGCAGAGAGUGUAGCUCAGUUAAAUUACAAUUUUCAAAACUCACUUUUUAAUAGAAUAGAUCUUGUAGGACUCAAACAAUAUCACAAAUUAUGUACUCUUAUCAAAUGAUUCUACUUAUACUACCUGCAUAAAUAUUUCAAGGGUCAUUUUUAAAAGAUCCUUAAUAUCAAAUUAUUCUUCAGUGUUCACUUAAAUAUAUUUUUCUAAAGUCCUUCACACAAUUUUGUGACUUUAAACUGAUAAAAUACCCGAGAAGCUCUUGGUUUGUAUCUAUCGAGUCUUCCAAAGAAUUAAAAAGUAUCAUCUACUUGUUGCUAAUAAAAGGUAACAAAGUAUUAACUUAUAAUUGCAUGUACUACUAAGUUUAUUCAUUUAAAAAAUAAACCUUUUAUUCAAUAGAGGGAGAAAAAAACUUCCAAAAGCUUACAGAAAAGGGGGAAAAAGGAUAAAUAAGUUUAUAUUGACAUGAAAGCACUGAAAAGGGACUGUUUGCUU